rnacentral:rRNA from 1 species
AGAGUGCAGCCCCAAUCAGGUGGUAAACUCCAUCUAAGGCUAAAUACGACCUGGAGACCGAUAGCGAACAAGUACCGUGAGGGAAAGUUGAAAAGGACUUUGAAGAGAGAGUUCAAGAGUACGUGAAACCGUUCGGAGGUAAACGAGUGGGCCCUCGAAGUGUGAAGGCGGGGGGACUCAGCCGAACGCCGUCGAGCCCGCCGGCGUGUCCGCGCUUCCCUCCCGGGACGCGGCGCGCCGGUGUGCUGGCUCCGGCUUGCGGCGCAUUUCCUCCCGUCCUCCGACGCCGCGACCGGUCGGGCGCGCCACGAGCAGUCGGCCUUACUCGCGGGAAACGGAAGGUAGCCGGGUCGGCGCGCACGCGUCGCUCCCCGGUGUUCUAGCCGUCCCGCAAUCGAGUCAGCCGUUCGCCCGACCGCAGGAACCAAGGCCCUCAGGGGCCCCGCCGUGCCCUCCCCGCUCGGGGAUCGCUCCGCGUCUCGGAAGGGAUGCCGCUUGUCCCCGCGUCGCACCUCCGGUGCGCGUGGGGCGGCGGCGCCCGCUGGCCGGGGCGCUUGCGAUUCGGGCGCUGGCGGUCUGCGGCGAGUAGGUCGGUCACCCACUCGACCCGUCUUGAAACACGGACCAAGGAGUUUAACAUGCACGCGAGUCACUGGGUCGUGAGCAGGCCCAAGGGCGCAAUGAAAGUGAAGGGCGGCCCAUGCCGUCCGCGUUGGGAUCCUCCGGCCUCCGCGCCGGGGGCGCACCAACGGCUCGUCCGGGCCGCCACGUCGGCCGGGCGAAGCUAGAGCGUGCACGUUGAGACCCGAAAGAUGGUGAACUAUGGCUGGGCAGGACGAAGCC